UGAGGAAUAUUGGACAAUGGGCGCAAGCCUGAUCCAGCAAUGCCGCGUGCAGGAUGAAGGCCUUCGGGUUGUAAACUGCUUUUGUACGGAGCGAAAAGGUCUGCCCUAAUACGGUGGGCUCAUGACGGUACCGUAAGAAUAAGCACCGGCUAACUACGUGCCAGCAGCCGCGGUAAUACGUAGGGUGCGAGCGUUAAUCGGAAUUACUGGGCGUAAAGCGUGCGCAGGCGGUUAUGCAAGACAGAUGUGAAAUCCCCGGGCUCAACCUGGGACCUGCAUUUGUGACUGUAUAGCUAGAGUACGGUAGAGGGGGAUGGAAUUCCGCGUGUAGCAGUGAAAUGCGUAGAUAUGCGGAGGAACACCGAUGGCGAAGGCAAUCCCCUGGACCUGUACUGACGCUCAUGCACGAAAGCGUGGGGAGCAAACA
rnacentral:rRNA from 1 species